rnacentral:rRNA from 1 species
GAGUUUGAUCAUGGCUCACCACUUGAACGCUGGCGGCAGGCCUAACACAUGCAAGUCGAACGCUCCCUUCGGGGGGAGUGGCGGACGGGUGAGUAACGCGUGGGAACCUGGCUCUUGGUACGGAACAACCGCGGGAAACUGCGGCUAAUACCGUAUACGCCCUGAGGGGGAAAGAUUUAUCGCCGAGGGAUGGGCCCGCGUCUGAUUAGCUAGUUGGUGAGGUAACGGCUCACCAAGGCAUCGAUCAGUAGCUGGUCUGAGAGGAUGAUCAGCCACACUGGGACUGAGACACGGCCCAGACUCCUACGGGAGGCAGUAGUGGGGAAUAUUGGACAAUGGGGGCAACCCUGAUCCAGCCAUGCCGCGUGAGUGACGAAGGCCUUAGGGUUGUAAAGCUCCUUCAGUGGUGACGAUGAUGACGGUAGCCACAGAAGAAGCCCCGGCUAACUCCGUGCCAGCAGCCGCGGUAAUACGGAGGGGGCAAGCGUUGUUCGGAAUUACUGGGCGUAAAGGGCGCGUAGGCGGUCUGUUACGUCAGGUGUGAAAGCCCCGGGCUCAACCUGGGAGGUGCACUUGAUACGGGCAGGCUUGAAUCCGGGAGAGGAUGGUGGAAUUCCCAGUGUAGAGGUGA